rnacentral:rRNA from 1 species
GACGAACGCUGGCGGCGUGCUUAACACAUGCAAGUCGAACGGAGUGGCGAACGGGGGAGUAAAACGUGGGUGAUCUGCCUUGCACUACGGGAUAAGCUUGGGAAACUGGGUCUAAUACCGGAUAGUGCAAGAGGAGCGCGCGGCCUAUCAGCUUGUGGGUGGGGUAAUGGCCUACCAAGGCGUCGACGGUUAGACGGCCUGAGAGGGGGUACGGCCACCUUGGGACUGAGAUACGGACCAGACGCCUACGGGAGGCAGUAGUGGGGAAGAUUGCACAAUGGGCGGAAGCCUUAUGCAGCGACGUCGCGUGGGUGAUGAAGGCCUUCGGGUUGUAAACUCCUUGCGACAGGGACGCGGUACCUGUAUAAGAAGCACCGGCUAACUACGUGCCAGCAGCCGCGGUAAUUC